rnacentral:rRNA from 1 species
CCUACGGGAGGCAGCAGUGAGGAAUAUUGGUCAAUGGGCGGAAGCCUGAACCAGCCAAGUAGCGUGCAGGAUGACGGCCCUACGGGUUGUAAACUGCUUUUAUACGGGAAUAACGCGCCUUACGUGUAGGGCUUUGCAUGUACCGUAUGAAUAAGGACCGGCUAAUUCCGUGCCAGCAGCCGCGGUAAUACGGAAGGUCCGGGCGUUAUCCGGAUUUAUUGGGUUUAAAGGGAGCGUAGGCCGCAUGUCAAGCGUGCUGUGAAAUGUCCGGGCUCAACCCGGGCCUUGCAGCGCGAACUGGCGUGCUUGAGUCCGCGGAAAGCAGGCGGAAUUCGUCGUGUAGCGGUGAAAUGCUUAGAUAUGACGAAGAACCCCGAUUGCGAAGGCAGCUUGCUGCAGCGGAACUGACGCUGAUGCUCGAAAGCGCGGGUAUCGAACAGGAUUAGAUACCCCAGUAGUC